ACUCUAUUGCCGAUCUUCUGGAUUUUCUGAGGGCUUUUUUUUUUGUUUGCUUUGGUUUGGGGUAUUUUUUGGGGGGUGGCAGUAUGUGCAUGUGUGAUCAUUUGUUUAAUUUUGGGAUAGUUUCUGGUUUUGUUAUGUUGUCUUAAAAGAUUAGAGAUGUCUUUCCUAGUUCUUUAUUAUUAGCUAAAUAAAAUUCCUUACAAAGAGUUGGCUACAGUAAGGACUGAUACUGUCCUGGGUAGUAUAUAUUUUAAAGUGUUCAGCCAUUUUCAAAAUAGACUGGAAGUAAUUCAGUUCCAAAAGAUUUAUAAAACCUUGAAAUUCAGUUUAGUCAAGAAGAUUUCCAAACACGUGUUCAUUAAAGCUGCAGCAAGAGUACAGCUUACUAAAUGAAGUAAACACAAGAGUUAAUGAAGGCUCUUGAAUAUUGGUGAAAUAUUUAAGUCUUUAUAGGAACUUCAAAUUAUGAAUAUUACUGGCAGAUUAGCUCUGUAUUAUUGAAGUUUAAACAAUGACAACAAUAAAAUUUUCAUUAUUUUGUUCACUGACAAAACUCUGCAAAUAAUUUCUGCUGAUUAAGUCUAUUUUCUGACACUUUAACCAAAAUCUUCUAUGUACUCAAGAGGUUCUCAAAAUGUUAUUUCUAGUUGGAAACUGAGAUUAAAAAUGUCACUCAACAGCAGCAACAACAGAAGCUAUUGCAUUGUCUGGAUGGUACAUAUUAUUGCUAAUGGAAUACAUCAGGCAAACUUUCACAGUAUGAUCAGUGCAUUUUAUACAGUGGAAAUGAAAAACAACACUGCUCUUGUUCAAUAGCUAUUCUUUUGGAAGGACUUCUCUGUUUAUGAAGCAGAAAAUUGCCAAGUAGACAUACCAGUAAUAGUGAGUAGAUGACUUUUAAACUUUUAUUCCACAGAUUUUUACAGACUCAUCAGACACAACAAUAGAAGAGAAACACAGAGGAGAAACGAAAUUCUCUUCACUGCUGAAAUCGCUGCUCUAUGAUGUUAUUUUUUGGUUCCAGCUGUGCAGAACAGAAAGUGCUGCUCUACCCAUUAGUGAAGAAAAGGCCAUGGGGUGCGAAAACAGCUCACUCUGGAAGUCUGAAGGCUGACAGAAAAGAAAGCCAGUUUCCUAUUGUUUCCAGAAAUGCCACAAACCCAGAGUGUUACCAUUCAUACUGGAAGAGUGAGAAUGAAUAACUGAAAUAAAAGAAAUGAGAGAGAUUUCUUCAACAGAAGAUGCAGGGGAAUAUUCUGUGUCAAAAAUCAGUUGCAAUAAGGGUGAUUGUCCACUUACAGUGUAGCACCAAUAAGGUGUAGCAUUCCUAGAGCAUCUUUCAUUGCAAAUUACUGAGCAGAACCAUUAUGCAAGCAAGAGUUAAAUGCUGCAGAAAUGUGUAUUUGUGAUCUGCUAUAUUUUUUAUCCAGGGAAAGCUUUUUUUAAUGAAAAAAUAUGAAUGUUGCAGGUGGUAGUUGGGGGCUGCUUCCUGUAGUCAAGAAAUACAUUUCUAUUAUGAAAGCUCCCAGUGAUUUUUUUAUAUUAAAAUGAUGAGAAAAGAAAUAUGGUAUUUGAUGAUAGGCUAAAAGCUGCUACUCCAAAUAGCUCAGUGGAUUUGCCUGGAUAAAAAUAAAAUAAAAAACAAAAAAAAAAAGCUCCAUAUUGGCCCCACAUUUACACCCUCACUUUAUCAUAUGCUUUUUGUGUGCUUCAUUGGAAAGGUGAUUUUGGUCUAUUUAGUCAUUGAUCUUACUUAACUGCUUCUUAGCAUUAUGGUGGAUCUCUACCUAGCAGCUACUCUAAAAGUACAAAUCAAGCAGUAUUCUGUUAUUUGUAUGCAUUAAGACAGGUCAAGCUCAAUCUGGGAUGCAGUGGAGGAGUAACCAGUGACAAAUGUGUAAUGCAAAGCAGUCUAGCAUUAAUGGCAGGGGAGAGAAGGGGAGAAACAGAGAACAGAUUCCUAUCACAGUGGGCUAGAGCCGUAAUCCAUGGUGCUAGAUAAUCUUUCGACUAUUCUGUCUCAUCUGAAUGUAGGUAAUUUUCUUAGAUGACAGGGACCUGAAGUGUUUUAUAAUUAAUUAGAUGUCAUUACUCAAAUGGCCCCAUUCUUCAGUCAUGUGGCUAAUGAAGGUAAUUACUGCCUUUCCAUUUGUACCCAGUUGAGGGUGGCAGCAAUGAUUUCAGCCCAAGGCCUGAUGCUGAGACCCUCACACUGAGGUUACCUUACUGAUGUGGACUUUACAGGAAAGACAAGUUUUGGAAAUAACGUCAAAGACAUUUUAGGUGUCUGUCCUUUUCACACGUUUUUUUUACAAUAAUAAAUGGUCAAACAUUACAGCUGUACUCAGAAUCCUGUGAAUAAAUUGCUGGAUAAGCGUAUCUCCACAGGUCUAAUGGAAAGAAUACUGAAACAAAACCAGAGUUUUCCACUUAGACCAGUAGUUCUUUAGAUCAAGCACUUUUGUUUUACACAGAUCCUCAAAACUACCUUUGAAAAACAAAACAAAGCAAACAAACAAACACCCCCCCAAAAAAAAAACCUUGGAAAAUUUGAACCAUUUUUCCCACUAAGUCAUUUGAGAGCUGUUAAUACAUUUUUAAGCAAGCUCAGAGAUUAUUUUGUCAUUGAGAUUCAAGUGGAAUUUAGAUUAUCAUGUAAAAUUUUACUUUUAGUGUCUGCAGUGGAUGAAGCUUUAGAUACUUGCCUGUGCCUCCACAUGCCUUUUUUUGUGAACCUUACAUGAAAACAGGUGGGAGAUAUGCUCCAAGGGCCAAAGGGAAGUAGUAACGUUGUGACCUCAGUGUUUUUUGGCGGCUAACUCUUGGUGACCUUGGUGGUUUUCAGUGGCUAACCCUUGGUGCCCCUGUGUGUUGGAAGUAUCAGAGACAAUCAGAGCUGCAGUGAUGCGUGAGGUCCCUGUGCUUAGCACCAGGCAGCAUGGGCAGCUGGCCCUGCUCUGCAGGGGUGGACAUGGAUGCUGAUCCUUAGGAGUGCAGCAGAAAGUAGCUCCAGAUAAACUAGGAAAAAGACUCUGUGACAUAAUAUGCUGCCUCCUAAUGUGUUUCUUUCUCAUUCAUCACUGGAGAGAAACACUGAAGCCCUUCAGAUAUUUUCAGAGGAAGAACUGCUUUCUGAAGCCUAGAGAGAAAAAGAAAUUAGAUGCAAGACUUGUGGUGGCUGCCUAGGCCUGAGGAAUAUUUUUCUGGUGUUUUGUUACAUUUUGCAGUGAAUAGUGCCCUUGUCUCAUGCUCCUGUUCUCUACCACUUUGUUGCUUUUGGCUGAAUCACAGUUAGCACAUCCUUGUAGGAAUGUUUCCCCCUCAGAGAAGAUUGUAAGGUGCAAUUCCUUUAUGUUUCUGAAGGACUUUGAAAUCCCCAAAAUGAAAGUUCCAGUGAAGAGCAACAUUGCUUUCUGCUUGGGGCAAGGUAAAAACAGGGGUCAUCUACAGCUGAGGAAGAAUCCCACAGCUUUGAAAUGGAGAAGAAAUAGCAGCACCAAGGAAAGGGCCUGUACUCAGGUCUGCAAAGUUGUCAUUCAGCUCCUGUGGUUCCUGAUUGUUAUUAAGUAGAACAAGUCCAUGUGAUGAAGUUCAUUCUGGGCCAGCAUCUUUGUGCAUUCCUAUUUAUGUCCUAGAUUGUAUGUCUAGGUUUUACAUUUGGCAUUGCAAUUGUUCCUUGUUGAAAAGGAGAGAUGCUUGGAAAUGCAUGCCCUAAGCAUCUCAGCUUGGAAGAUGGUUAGGCUGCUUGGAACCAGUUUUGCAGCUUGCAAAAAUUAUGGCAGUGCAGUAUAAAUUGAGACUUCUGGUUGUUAGCUUUUUCAAGAUCUCAGAUCUCUUUGUGAUGUGGCCUACAUCCUCUGCAGCUGUUUAUCCUCAUUCUUCAGCACUUUCACAGAGAAAUGAAGUGGCCUAAUGGAAUGGUUCCAGUAGGAAACUAAGGAACUAGGAAACUAAGGAAUCUAGGAACUCGAAGCAUAUUCCAUUAUAUCUGUAUAUAUUAAAUAUAACUUGGAAACCCUCACAUGACAUUUGUUUCUUCUGCAGCUUCUGGAAGUGUUCAGACUCUGGUGGAAGCAGGUUGAUCUGUUUCUACUGGUUUCAUGUUAGAAGUAUGAGUCCUGACUUGAGUGCAAAAGGGAGAUCAGACCAUCUAAUUGCUAUUGCUGGACCUGCCUGUUCUCCAUCUUUGUGCUACUAUCCUAGCAGCACCAGUUAGCUACAACUUUUUUAAAUCUCACAUUCAGAAAAAAAAAAAAUGGUCUUACCUAUGGGAGUUCUUAUGAGUAGUUCUGGAAAAUAUUAAUUUAAUUAUAUUUCUUUGGUUUUGACCCAAGUUCCCCUUGUUGUAUAACUGAUGUAAUUUUGCUAUAUGACUGUUGUUACUUUUAUUAUUGACUUUUAGAGUCUGGGCAGCAAUAGAAAAUUUAAUGAUAUACAUUUUAAAAUGCUUUAAACAGCGAUGAAAAAAAAAAGAGAACAUUAUCUUUCUUAAACCAUCUCUUUUCAAACUACAAGAUCCCUAUUUCUCAUUUACACUAAAGCCCUUUUAUACCCUUCUAGCUGUGUAAACAAGGCAUGAAUUGUGUGUGAAUUACAUUUAUAUCAUUUUUAGUACAAAUAAAUAUAAAUGAUCAAAUUUUCUUCCUUCAUUGGCCUUUAGGUUAUUGACACAUAUGCUGGUCCAAUCUUGAGAGAAAUGAGGAUACAGACCCCAUAAUUUAUCUGCUUUUUAAUCUAAAAAAGCUCACCAGAACUCGGUCAUUAAAAUACAGUGUGAUAUGCCCAGCACAUUGCUAACUGACAAAAUGUUAAACAUUUAGUUUCCACAAGAGCAAUGAGAACCGUAUGUUUUCAUCAUUAAAUAACAUUAUUUCCCUUCUGUUUGGGCAUCAAGUUACAUUUUUCUAGCUUGAACUUCCAGAUCCAGUCCCAUCCAGAAGUGAACAGAUAGAUAAAAAUGAAUGGGCUUUGUUAAAAAUCUCAGGCAGAGUUCAUUCUUGUUAGAAAAGGGAGGGAGAGCAGAUAGAUAUUGAUAUAAAUAAUAUUUCUCAGUUUCAGUAGUUUUCUAGAUGUUGCGACGUAAGAAGUCUGUGUAAGACUGCAGGGGUGGGUAUAUAUGAAAUAGUGAACUGGACUAUUUACCAUGUAUAUUAUUUUGAUGAGGGAAGAUGGACAACUUAGAGAGAGGAUGGGUGCCUGUUCCCUUACAAAGCCAACAGAAUUGCAUAGACUCCGACAAGUCCUUCGUAGGUUCACCUUGUUCAUUCUAGAGCUACGAGGAAAUGUCUGACCUGCUGGUGGGGGCAGUCACCGUAGAGCCACUUACUUCAGUGUGCUUUAGAUGGAAAAUACUCUGUUAAUUCAGACUCAGUAGUCAGGAUAUGUAACAGAAAGUUGAUUUCUCCCAAUAAUAAUCAGCUCAUUUUCCUAGAAAUGGACCAUUUACACAUGGUCUAUUGACAGUGUAUUGCACUGAUACUUCUGGAGAAGUCCAAGAGAUGAAGGGAAAGAUCUUCUGUUAAAUUUUUGUGUGUUAUGUUCAGUGAAGGUGAAGAAAGAAGAAAAAAGCUGCAGGCACCUGCAGUGUCCAAGACUACAAGAGAAAACUGAGAUGAAAGACACAUUUGUUUGGAUACUGACAAAUCUAGAUAUCCCACUAAAUAUGAAAUCAGAUACAGAGAGAGGACUUCUUUUAAGAAAGAUAAGGGUAUUUUAACAAUUUCAUUAUUAAUAGGAAUACUUCUAAAAAUAGAGGUACUGCAGUUAGAAAAUUUCCCAAGCAUCUCUGCAUGUCUUACUCCUUCCCUCCGUUUUUCUGUAUGCAGCUCCUCUGAAGACGUCACCGGCCCUUUGGAGAAGCACAUACAAGAGGCCAUGGAGAAGGGCCAUGAGCUCAGGAUGACACAGGGUUCCUUGGAAGGUUGAUACUACAGUGACAGCUCCUAGAAAAUUGAUCUAAGCUUACAUACAAGUUCUACUGUCACUGAUAUCAGAGGCAGCUUGGGAGGACACGAUACCCAGAGAACUGGCUCCAUUCACACUAAUGCACUGGGCACAGAGUAGUUCUUGGCUGGACUGUGACACACACACACAUUGAGACGUGUGUGGUCAGGAUCAGGUCAUUGAGACAUGGUUUUUUGGGUCAGGAUCAAGGACAAUGGCAAUUGGAAAAAAUAAUUGAAGCCUGUAGUCAGUUGAUUAAAUGUUUAAUAGACUGAAUACUUCGUUGUUCUGUGUGUUCUAAUUCCAAUGAACACAUUUUAACAAUUUUGGAAUGAAGCACUGUUUUACUCAUGGAGCACAAUAAUUUUGGAUUAAAGUAGUUGAAUACAUGCCUACCAUUUUGGGUGACUGAUCCUUGCUUUUGCUAGUCUUUUCCUACUCAGUAAGUACUUAUUGUAUAGAAUCUCUCUUCAAAUGACUGUGAAAAAGGAAAAUUACUGCAUUUGUCUGUGUAAGCAGAUUACAGUUUCAAUUAAACUUUUAAAGUGAAAAAAGUA